rnacentral:rRNA from 1 species
AGAGUUUGAUCCUGGCUCAGGAUGAACGCUAGCGGCAGGCUUAACACAUGCAAGUCGAGGGGGAUAGUUCUUCGGAACUAGAGACCGGCGCACGGGUGCGUAACGCGUAUGCAAUCUACCUUGUACAGGGGGAUAGCCCAGAGAAAUUUGGAUUAAUACCCCAUAGUAUUAUUGAAUGGCAUCAUUUAAUAAUUAAAGUUCCAACGGUACAAGAUGAGCAUGCGUCCCAUUAGCUAGUUGGUGUGGUAACGGCACACCAAGGCCACGAUGGGUAGGGGUCCUGAGAGGGAGAUCCCCCACACUGGUACUGAGACACGGACCAGACUCCUACGGGAGGCAGCAGUGAGGAAUUUUCUGCAAUGGGCGAAAGCCUGACAGAGCAAUACCGCGUGAGGGAUGAAAGCCUAUGGGUUGUAAACCUCUUUUCUCAAGGAGGAAGAUAUGACGUUACUUGAGGAAUAAGCAUCGGCUAACCCUGUGCCAGCAGCCGCGGUAAUACAGGGGAUGCAAGUGUUAUCCGGAUUUAUUGGGCGUAAAGCGUCUGCAGGUUGAUAUUUAAGUCUUUUGUUAAACCUUCGGGCUUAACCUGAAUUCUGCAAAAGAAACUAUUUAUCUUGAGUAUGGUAGAGGUAAAGGGAAUUUCCAGUGGAGCGGUGAAAUGCGUAGAGAUUGGAAAGAACACCAACAGCGAAGGCACUUUACUGGGCCAUUACUGACACUGAGAGACGAAAGCUAGGGGAGCAAACGGGAUUAGAUACCCCGGUAGUCCUAGCUGUAAACGAUGGAUACUAGAUGUUGUGCAUUUUUUGAGUGUGCAGUGUCGUAGCUAACGCGUUAAGUAUCCCGCCUGGGAAGUAUGCUCGCAAGAGUG